CCCUAGCCCUGAUGGGAGCGGCAUCCUUUUUAUUUUUUCUUUAAAAAUAAAAAGAUACAGUGGACAGCGGGAAAUAGC
rnacentral:sRNA from 2 species